rnacentral:lncRNA from 1 species
CUUGUUUAAAGGUUUGUGAAUUAGGCCUAUAAAGCCGUUCAUCGAUUGUUUCAUGAAUUGAAUGUUUGUUAGCCCAAAUUGAGAAGGAAAUGGGAGGCCUUUCGUCAUCUAAGAUGUAAUACCUAAAUUUUACCCGGCCCUUUUAUAAAUAAAAAAGUCCAGUUUGUUUUUUUACAAGGUCAAAUCCAAAACAAAUAAUUGGCCCAGAAUACAUGGCCCAAAUUGAAAUAAAGCAGAGGCCUAAAUCUAGUGGCCCAAAAUAGUGGUAAAAACUCUAGGGUUUCUGGGGAGAACUCGUGCCGCAGCCACAUAAUCUACAAGAUCCGUAAGAUCUGCACGAGCCACGUCCAUACUUGCACAACAAGGAAGGAAACAAGGCAGAAUAGGGCAAGAAAAAUCUUUGAAAUCACGAAUCAAGCAAGAUACCCGAAGAUUUUGUUUACUUUCUUUGUUUCAUUGUUUUCUAUAAAAGCAAACUCAAAACACUGUAAUUAGGGCCCCGAAAAAAAUCAAAUAAAAAAACAAG